rnacentral:misc_RNA from 1 species
GUGGUGUUUGGUUUGUUACGGGUGGUUGGCUGUAUGCUCGCGCAACAACUUCCACCUGGCUUACCUAUUCAGUUAUACGCCAAGGCUUGUAUCGCCAUGAGCGUAUUGUGGGUUUCCUGUGUUGCAUACCUAAUCAAUGGUACCGAUUUGACUGAUUGACGUCCCUUUCGUCUUGGGCGGCACUUGUGGCCUGGGAUGAACUUUGAUGCGUCUCUUUGAUCCACUCAUCAGAUGCACAUGCGUUGAUUGUUUGGCUCAUUGGGUAUCGCUUGGUCUCUUGUAUAUGGAACCUAAUGUGGGCAUGGGGUCGCAUGAUCCUCUUUUUGCCCUCCUUGAGCGUUGUCGCUUCUCUAAAACUGAUCCAUUCGUGCCUAGGCUGAAACCCUGUGCGGUGGUGUAUGUUUAGAGCAACGA